AUAAGAUACUAGUUUGCGUAGAAGCGGACAGACGAACGGAUGGUCAUACGGACUUUGCUAGCCUCGUGAUGCUGAUUGAGAGUAUAUAUAAUUUAUGGGAUCGAGGCCGUCUUCUGCACUGCAUUGCAAACUUCUGACUGAUAUCAUUAUACCCUCUGCAAGUGUAUACAAAUACAAAGGGCUGUGGAGUAAACGGCUGUACAAUGAAGCAUCACCCCUACACUCAAUACAACUAAAUCGAGAAAUCAGGACAAGUAAACAAGAAUACUCCAAGAAACAGAAGCCAGUGCAUUUUGGGGCUACGGAACAGAUCUUGCAGUUCCAACGACAAGAGAAGUCUUCCUGGCUUUUAGUCCGAUCUUUGAUCCCUUUGUCAUACUAAUGGAUUAAAAAUCCUUCUUCAGAAAAAAUGCUGGUUGCCGAAAAAAGCAAAGUGGCAUGGGG